GCCAGGCAUGGUGGCGGGUGCCUGUAAUCCCAGCUACUCAGGAGGCUGAGGCAGGAGAAUUGCUUGAACCCGGGAGGUGGAGGUGCAGUGAGCCAAGAUUGCGUCACUGCACUCCAGCCUGGGUGACAGAGUGAGACUCCGUCUCAA
ensembl:misc_RNA Metazoa_SRP Metazoan signal recognition particle RNA